GUUGAAUAUAACCCACAACUUGACUUAGCUGUCAGCAUAGUUGUUGCUCCUUUAAAGGGUGAAGCUCGGCCACCUGAGAGGCUGGCAUGCAGCACCUUCCUGUCCAAGGAGACAUGAUUCACUCAGUCAUAGGAUGGAACCCUCCUCUUUAGAAAGAAGCAGCGCCCUCCCCGCAGGCACCCUCACAAACCCUAGAGCCAGAUUAGAUGCAGCAGUAGCUUCAGUGAGGGAGGAGCCAUAAUGAGUAACGCGUGGAACAUAAUCUUCGGUGCUGAUAAAUAGAGGGCUGCCUGCACAGUUCCGACCACUCCGCAGCUGGGCCUGGGUGACCUCACGUAACUAACUGACCCUGUGUCUUACGUGUAUUCAUUUUUGGAAUCUAAGAGGUAAAUCUCCAUCCCAGCCCAACCCCCACUCCCCACUUGAAAGAUUGCACAUCACACCUAGAAUUCUAUUUGUUUAAUAGCUGUCUUUAAUGUUAAAAAUAUACAAGGCCAGCCCUGGC